rnacentral:misc_RNA from 1 species
GAUGAAGAACGCAGCGAAAUGCGAUAAGUAGUGUGAAUUGCAGAUUUCAGUGAAUCAUCGAAUCUUUGAACGCACAUUGCGCCCUUUGGUAUUCCUUAGGGCAUGCCUGUUCGAGCGUCAUUUAAACCUUCAAGCUCAGCUUGGUGAUGGGUGACUGUCCGCUGCCUCCCCCCGGGGUGCGCCGCGGACUCGCCUCAAAUUUAUUGGCGGCCGGUACGUUGGCUUCGAGCGCAGCAGAAACGCGUAACUCGAGGUCUCCGUGGCGGCUCCCACAAGCAACCUUCAUUAUUUUGACCUCGGAUCAGGUAUGGAUACCCGCUGAACUUAAGCAUAUCAAUAAGCGGAGGA